rnacentral:rRNA from 1 species
GCGCAAGCCUGAUGCAGCCACGCCGCGUGAGGGACGACGGCCUUCGGGUCGUAAACCUCUUUUGGCAGGGAAGAAGCGAAAGUGACGGUACCUGCAGAAAAAGCACCGGCUAACUACGUGCUAGAAGCCGCGGUGAUACGUAGGGUGCAAUCGUUGUCCGGAAUUCUUGAGCGUAAAGAGCUCGUAGGCGGUUUGUCGCGUCUGCUGUGAAAACCCGAGGCUCAACCUCGGGACUGCAGUGGGUACGGGCAAACUAGAGUUCGGUAGGGGAGGUUGGAAUGCCGGGUGUAGCGGUGGAAUGCGCAGAUAGCAGGAGGAACACCCAUGCCGAAGGCAGAUCUCUGGUCCGUAACUGACGCUGAGGAGCGAAAGCAUGGGGA